rnacentral:rRNA from 1 species
CCUACGGGAGGCUGCAGUUGGGGAUAUUGCACAAUGGGGGAAACCCUGAUGCAGCGACGCCGCGUGAGCGAUGAAGUAUUUCGGUAUGUAAAGCUCUAUCAGCAGGGAAGAAAAUGACGGUACCUGACUACGAAUCCCCGGCUAACUACGUGCCAGCAGCCGCGGUACUACGUAGGGGGCAAGCGUUAUCCGGAUUUACUGGGUGUAACGGGAACGUAGACGGCAGUGCAGGUCUGAAGUGAAAGGCAAGGGCUCAACCCUUGGACUGCUGUGGAAACUGUGCGGCUGGAGUGUGGGAGAGGCAAGUGGAAUUCCUAGUGUAGCGGUGAAAUGCGUAGAUAUUAGGAGGAACACCAGUGGCGAAGGCGGCUUGCUGGACGAUGACUGACGUUGAGGCUCGAAAGCGUGGGGAGCAAACAGGAUUAGAUACCCGGGUAGUC